rnacentral:rRNA from 1 species
UACGUAGGGGCCGAGCGUUGUCCGGAUUUAUUGGGCGUAAAGCGCGCGCAGGCGGCUUGACGCGCCCGACGUGAAAGCCCCCGGCUUAACCGGGGAGGGUCGUCGGGUACGGUCAGGCUUGAGGGCGGGAGAGGGUGGUGGAAUUCCCGGUGUAGUGGUGAAAUGCGUAGAGAUCGGGAGGAACACCUGUGGCGAAGGCGGCGACCUGGGCCGACCCUGACGCUGAGGCGCGAAGGCGUGGGGAGCGAACGGG